rnacentral:rRNA from 1 species
UGGAUCCAGACUUUGAUUAUGGCUCAGGAUGAACGCUAGCUACAGGCUUAACACAUGCAAGUCGAGGGGAAACGACAUCGAAAGCUUGCUUUUGAUGGGCGUCGACCGGCGCACGGGUGAGUAACGCGUAUCCAACCUGCCCACCACUUGGGGAUAACCUUGCGAAAGUAAGACUAAUACCCAAUGACGUCUCUAGAAGACAUCUGAAGGAGAUUAAAGAUUUAUCGGUGAUGGAUGGGGAUGCGUCUGAUUAGCUUGUUGGCGGGGUAACGGCCCACCAAGGCUACGAUCAGUAGGGGUUCUGAGAGGAAGGUCCCCCACAUUGGAACUGAGACACGGUCCAAACUCCUACGGGAGGCAGCAGUGAGGAAUAUUGGUCAAUGGACGAGAGUCUGAACCAGCCAAGUAGCGUGCAGGAUGACGGCCCUAUGGGUUGUAAACUGCUUUUAUAAGGGAAUAAAGUGAGCCUCGUGAGGCUUUUUGCAUGUACCUUAUGAAUAAGGACCGGCUAAUUCCGUGCCAGCAGCCGCGGUAAUACGGAAGGUCCGGGCGUUAUCCGGAUUUAUUGGGUUUAAAGGGAGCGUAGGCCGGAGAUUAAGCGUGUUGUGAAAUGUAGACGCUCAACGUCUGCACUGCAGCGCGAACUGGUUUCCUUGAGUACGCACAAAGUGGGCGGAAUUCGUGGUGUAGCGGUGAAAUGCUUAGAUAUCACGAAGAACUCCGAUUGCGAAGGCAGCUCACUGGAGCGCAACUGACGCUGAAGCUCGAAAGUGCGGGUAUCGAACAGGAUUAGAUACCCUGGUAGUCCGCACGGUAAACGAUGGAUGCCCGCUGUUGGUCUGAAUAGGUCAGCGGCCAAGCGAAAGCAUUAAGCAUCCCACCUGGGGAGUACGCCGGCAACGGUGCAACUCAAAUGAAUUGACGGA